rnacentral:rRNA from 1 species
AUGCACGCUGGCGGCGUGCCUAAUACAUGCCAGUCGAGCGAACGGACGAGAAGCUUGCUUCUCUGAUGUUAGCGGCGGACGGGUGAGUAACACGUGGAUAACCUACCUAUAAGACUGGGAUAACUUCGGGAAACCGGAGCUAAUACCGGAUAAUAUUUUGAACCGCAUGGUUCAAAAGUGAAAGACGGUCUUGCUGUCACUUAUAGAUGGAUCCGCGCUGCAUUAGCUAGUUGGUAAGGUAACGGCUUACCAAGGCAACGAUGCAUAGCCGACCUGAGAGGGUGAUCGGCCACACUGGAACUGAGACACGGUCCAGACUCCUACGGGAGGCAGCAGUAGGGAAUCUUCCGCAAUGGGCGAAAGCCUGACGGAGCAACGCCGCGUGAGCGAUGAAGGUCUUCGGAUCGUAAAACUCUGUUAUUAGGGAAGAACAUAUGUGUAAGUAACUGUGCACAUCUAGACGGUACCUAAUCAGAAAGCCACGGCUAACUACGUG